AACUUUGCCACAUGCCUUUUAUUCCAAUGCCUCAUUUAGCUCCGUAGACUAUUUUAGAUAAGGGUAGAAUAGACAAACACAUCAUUGGUCUAGAAAUAUCCAAUCCUUCGUCUUUCAGUUUCAGAAUGUUCCUUGCAUGGUUCUAUGUUACUGCAAUGAUAGAUUAACAUCAUUGAAGCUUCAGCUAAAUUUUGCAAUAAGGUAACCGUCGUCAAUUCUUCUAAUACAGUCCAUUUGUUAACAUUUGUGGGAAGCUUCAGUUAAACAUUCUCUGUACUAAUCCCCUUCUGUCGGCCGUUUCAACUUAAAACUCAGGGUUGGGUUUUAUUGAAUUGGAUUUUCCUUGACACCUGACGCAGCUCUUUUAUUGCGCCUGAACAAAGUCAGGUUCUUGAAUUGUUUUGGUAGCCCUUUCCUUUUGUGUUGCUCUUUUUUUAAUUUUGAUUUCUGAAGUAUAUCAAUUGCAAUUAUUUUAGUACAAAAUUAGUAAACAUAUUAUUGUUUAGUUAAUAAAAGGUAAAUUGAUGACUAGAAAUCGGGCGUGUUUGUUUCCUUACCUUCCAAUAAUGUGAAAUGUUUUUCAUCUAAUUGAAAUUUUGCCCUUAAGAAUCACCUUUUCAUCUGGCAAGUUUCUUAUUAGGUCUCUCUAACUUAUCCUUUUGGUGCGGGAAUAAUAGGAUAGAAAGUUUGCCCAAUAAGCUGACCUUUUUGGAAUUUCCGAGGAUGAACUAGUGGCGAAAUAAUUGUUACUUUUUGUAUGUCUUUUUGCAAAAAAUACCUCCUUGUUACUCCAUUAACUAAGUUUCUUAUCUUAUCAAAAAGAAAAAAAGAGUAAAAAGAAGAAGUAUUUCCUUAGAGGAUUACUUAUUGUGGCUAUUAUCUUUCUUAUCUCCUACUUCAUUCUUAAUGUUUUGUAUCAGUUGGGCCUUUUGUCGGAGCUCUAAAGAACCAAAAUAUAAGAUUGAAUUUCUUCCGUAAGAUUCACCUUUUCAUCGGAUAAGUUGCUUGUCAUGUCUUUUACUUUUUGAAGUUCGAUUAGACGCCUCUCAUAAACUUUGUAUGCCAUUGAAAAUUUAAGAUUUUGAUGCUUUUACAUAUGAAAGAAGUUACUGAAAUAGUAUAGAUCCAUGUUUGUGGAAAUUGGGACCUAAUGUGACCUCUUAGUCUCGCUCACACUGGAUCAUCCAAGAGUUUCAUUUCAUUUUGAUGAAUCACUGGUCUUAUUUUGUAAAAUAAAAUGGCAUAUAUAGAUACAUCAUGUAGGUUGGACUUCUCUUUUUCUUUCAUAAGAACCAAGUUCAUGGUGCAUUCCACAAGUAGUAUUCAUGCUUCAUCAUUGUUUAGUGUUCCUUAGAUAAGACCACCAAUUUAUGCUUCAGUAUUAUCAAAAGCGAAAAGCUCUAAAAAGCAUUCCAGGUCGAUUGGGGCUUCAAGUGCAAAGCGCAACUGAAGUGCGGGCUUUAGUUAAAAAAGGCGCAAUUAAGAGAAAAAAAAUAAAAUACACAUGUAAUUCAAGAAAGAAGUAACAAACCCAUUCCUAAUGUCUUUGUCAACAACUAAUAUGCUUAUUUGUUGAUAAUAUUUGUCGUUUAACACCGCUCGAUUCAAGAUAGAACUUAUGGGAAAUGAGGCGUACACCUUAGUGCUUUGCCUACAUUGAAGCACAACUUAAGCAAGGCGAAGCACCCUCCCUGAGCUUUAGUGCUUAAGCGCGCCUUAAAUGAGCCUUUGACAACACAUGCUUAAACUGUUUGUAUACGAUAUGCCUAUCCGCUGUUUAACACCAUUCAAAUGAGACAACACUUAAUGCUUAAAUUGUUUUAGAACUUGUCCAUUGUUUACUGUAAAACAUAUAAUUUUCUUUACAUUUCUCCUUCUUUUGAUACGUCUUUGACUUCCACAGUUAAUACUUUUAAGGGGAUUGGUUAUUGUUGUAAUAUUUUGACUUGGCUUAGAAUUUUGUGGUUAAUUUUAAUGUGCUAUGUUAGAGUUUUGAUACAUAAAAGACAGUGAGGCCUGCUACAUAGGUUGCCACUUCAUUUUCCGUAUUUGAACUUAAGAAUAAGAGGCAUAAAUAAAGAAAAGCCAGAAAAAUGCCUUGAUCUACAUAUGCUCAAAUUGGAUUAAAACUUUCUAAUCCAAUUUUAUAAAUAGAAAGUUUCUGAGUUGAUAUUGUAGAUCAUCAGACUAAGCAGAUUAAGUAUAUUUGGCUGCAUGUUCUUUUUAUCUGGUAUGUAAAAGGAAAGCAGCUAUAAGCGAAUCAUUUUGAUAGAUCCAGAAAAGCUACAUCUGACCUAGAAAUUGUGUAAGCUUUUAGUUGUCUUUAUUUCAUUCAACAUUUGUUAUAUCCGCGUGCCAACUUUGCCAUGGUAAAAAGUAGGAAUAAUUUUAUUAAGUUGCGUCUCUUUGUUUUUCCUUAACGAAAUCUUUUCCUUUUUCUUUCCCGUAUUUCAUGCUGUAAUAUAUAUUCAUAAAUUUGUUAAUUUCUAUUUUUUUUUUCCUUCUAGCACAAUCUCAGUAUUCUUCAAAAAUAUUUCGAGGAUUGUUGGGAUUAGUUGGAUGUAAGGAUGGUUCUAACAACUUGGCAUGCUAAUGAAGAUAAAAUGUGAAGGCCGAAGACAUAGUUUUGUAUUCUAGGCAAAUACUGGUCUUAACAAAGUAAAUUGAUCCAUGGAAGAGCAUUCUUAAAGUAGGUUGAAAAGCAUUGUGAAGGUGAGUAAUAAGAGAAUGUAUAAUGAACUCACAAGAAAAGAAGAAUACUUAAGUGAGGAUCCAAGCUUCGUGGACCAUACCUUGAUCACUAGAAUAACAAACAAUUUGUUAGAACAAAGAAUUAAUUUGAGAACCCAAAAGAAUUUGAAGAUGUAAUUGGAAGGAUUUACAGCAUCAAGGUAGUUGUAGGUAUUUGUAGCAAGAAAUGUUGCGGCCACAGUGAUAGCAAGGAGUGCCAAAAGGAAAACAAACAAGCUUAACCAUUCUUGAACUUCUUGGUGAAAAUUGGCAAUACUAAGCCUCUUUGUAGCUGGAAUAGUGAUUCAGAGGAGUCAGAGUGGUCAAUAUUUGUGUGUGCGCACGCUUUAUUUUGUAGAAGUAAUGUGGGGCUUGAAUGCUUGAUCCAAGAGCUAUGCGUUACAAAAUUAUAUAGGGCUUUUUGAGGUCCCUUGAAAAAUGGAAGGAACAAUGUAACACCAAAUAUUGGAUACCAAGUUUGGAGCAGCCUUCCGAUUGAGCCCACAUGAUGACCUGACUCACUUAAAGUGAAUGUGCCUUUUUUGUUCAAUGCUAUGUCUUUCUCUUCUUAGUCAUUUCUACUUAUAGUAUAACAUUUGUGUUAUCAUUUUGUUUGUAGUGCUUAUUGACCACUUUAUCUGUACUAUAUACGUAUUAAUUUAUACCUUUUUCUUAAUAUCCGACUCAAAUAGUCCGAAAGUUUAUGUGACUUGGAGCUGUAAAAGUUUAUGUGACUUGAAGCGGGACAAGUUGCCUUAUAAAAGUUGAUCCUCUGAUGUAUCUGAAGGGUAGAAAUGUUGAAGGCUCGCAGAUGAUCUUAAGCCUCGAUUAUUUUUAUUAUUUACAAACUCUGCUUAGCUCAUAUAAUGCCAAACAUUAAACCCAUUACUUAGUUUUUGCCAAACUACUACUUAGGAGUGAACCAGCUUAAUUGAUGACAGGGAAAUUAUCUGUUACCUAAAUCAGAAGAUUACUUAUAUGACUCGUGAUGAUCAGUUUGAGCUUGAAACAACCAACACCAGCUCUCUACUCUAAAAUAUGUACUCGAUGCUUUCUAUGAAAGUGGACCAUAUUUGAUUAUUUAUUGUACUUGAUACUUUCUGUAAAAGUGGACCAAAGUAAUUUCUUGAAUUUAUGAAAUACUCUGCAUGCAAAUAAGCUGAGUUUGUUUCUUUUGAUCUA